GCGUGCAACAUGGCGGAUGAGGAACCGCUGCUGCAGGAAGAUGAAGACUCCGCCCCGGCCCCGCCCCCUCCGACCUCCUCCUGGCGAAUCGGAGCCGCUUUUUGGAUUUUGGGGCUGUGCAACAACCUCCCGUACGUGGUGAUGCUCAGCGCCGCCCGCGACCUGCUGG